UAUUUAGAAAUAUUUAUUAGGGAUAAGGCAAAGAUCAUUUUUCUUAUGCAUGGUGAUUCCAUGCCUAACAUUUGUGUCAAUGUCCUCUUUUUUCAAUCCAUAGGGUAACUCCCAAUCAAAUGCAUAAAGAAGAUUUGAUAAUGCAAGUUCCAUGGAUGCAACCCCAAGUGUCAUUCCGGGGCAACCUCUUCGACCUGCUCCAAAUGGAAUUAGCUCAUAGUUUUGUCCCUUGUAAUCAAUGUCGCUAUUCAGAAAUCUCUCAGGUAUAAAUUCU